UACGGAGGGGGCGAGCGUUGUCCGAAUUCAUUGGGCGUAAAGCGCGUGUAGGCGGACUUCCAAGCCUGAGGUGAAAGGUUGGGGCUCAACCCCAUACAGUGCCUUGGGGACUGGUUGUCUGGAGGCAGGCAGAGGUAUGUGGAAUUCCUGGUGUAGCGGUGGAAUGCGUAGACAUCAGGAGGAACACCCAUGGCGAAGGCAGGCAUACUGGGCCUGGUACUGACGCUGAGACGCGAAAGCGUGGGUAGCAAACGGGG
rnacentral:rRNA from 1 species